GCCAGGCGUGGUAGCGUGCGCCUGUAGUCCCAGCUACUUGGGAGGCUGAGACAAAAGAAUCGCUUGGACCCGGGACCUGGGGGCUGCAGUGAGCUGAGAUCACGCCACUGCACUCCAGCCUGGGUGACAGAGUGAGACUCUGUCCCAA
ensembl:misc_RNA Metazoa_SRP Metazoan signal recognition particle RNA